rnacentral:rRNA from 1 species
CAGGGAAUAUUGCACAAUGGGCGAAAGCCUGAUGCAGCAACGCCGCGUGAGGGAUGAAGGUCUUCGGAUUGUAAACCUCUUUUACAGGGGACGAGUGAGGACGGUACCCUGUGAAUAAGCAACGGCUAACUACGUGCCAGCAGCCGCGGUAAUACGUAGGUUGCGAGCGUUAUUCGGAUUUACUGGGCGUAAAGAGCACCGAGGUGGCUUCUUAAGUUGGAUGUGAAAUCUCCUGGCUUAACCGGGAGGCGCCAUUCAAAACUGGGGAGCUUGAGGUCAGCAGGGGAAGGUGGAAUUCCCGGUGUAGUGGUGGAAUGCGUAGAGAUCGGGAGGAACACCAGUGGCGAAAGCGACCUUCUGGGCUGCACCUGACACUCUAGUGCGAAAGCGUGGGGAGCAAACAGGAUUAGAUACCCCCGUAGUCC